rnacentral:siRNA from 1 species
UACAUGCGGCCAUUUUAAACAUA